UUUCCGUAGGUGAACCUGCGGAAGGAUCAUUAAAGAGUAAGGGUCUUCGGGCCCGAUCUCCAACCCUUUGUUUAACUACCAUGUUGCUUUGGCGGGCCCGUCUCACGACCGCCGGAAGUUUGGCUUCGACCAAACUUCUGGCCCGUGCCCGUCAGUGGCCCCUUCAAAUUCUUGAUCAAGUAUGAUGUCUUAGUUAAAAACUUAAUAGUUAGAACUUUCAACAACGGAUCUCUUGGUUCUG
rnacentral:misc_RNA from 1 species